rfam:Zootermopsis nevadensis contig15047, whole genome shotgun sequence.
GCCACGGUGGUCUAGCUGUUAGAACGCUGGCCUUGUAAUCCUGGGGUCUCGGGUUCGAUUCCCGGCGGUGCCC